UAGUCUCGAUCAUCCAGCCGCUUUAUUUUUCAAAGUAUAGCGUCUGGAUGACAAAUGAUAUAAAAAUGGUAAUUUAUGACAAUCGGAAUAGUAUCGGCUUUUUUUAGCUUGUUUUUAAGGAUAAUGUCCAAGACGAAUAACCAAGAAGUUGGUUAUUGUCUUCGGAAGAAAUGACAUUACGAUAAUAUUAUUGAAAAGCCCGAGUGUAUCGAUUGUUGUUUAAAGCUAUUUAUAUUUUUUUUUGUGACGAAAUACAAGUCAUGGAAAACACCAGACAACAUGGCUUUCAUGGCCGCGAAGAAAAAUAACAGCACAUCCAACCUUGACAAACCAAUGAUGAUUUCUGGACACAGAUUUUAUGUGAAAAAUGUGAAGAAUUAAAAAAAUAUAUAAUGUUCAGGAUUUUCAUUGUAUCAUGCUUAAACAACUUCAAUUUUAUAAGAACAAGAUUCAAAGAUUUUUUUUAAAUACUGAAGCAUCAAUCAGUAUAAAUAAAUCACAGAACCAAAAAUGUUGGAUAAACAUUAUUUUGGUAGCAACCACAAAGGGAAAAAAGGUACACAGACGUAUAUUAAGUAAACAAAACAAAAAUCAAGAAACACAUUAUUGUCAGAUAUGUCAGAGAAUUAAGAUUUGUAUUAACAAAUUAAAAUCAUAUAAACAAUAAAACAGUUAGUUUUCA